rnacentral:rRNA from 1 species
UACGUAGGGUGCGAGCGUUAAUCGGAAUUACUGGGCGUAAAGCGUGCGCAGGCGGUUUUGUAAGUUUGUCGUGAAAGCCCCGGGCUCAACCUGGGAAUUGCGAUGAAGACUGCAAGGCUUGAAUCUGGCAGAGGGGGGUAGAAUUCCACGUGUAGCAGUGAAAUGCGUAGAGAUGUGGAUGAACACCGAUGGCGAAGGCAGCCCCCUGGGUCAAGAUUGACGCUCAUGCACGAAAGCGUGGGGAGCAAACAGG